GAGGACAGUUAUUCCCAUGGUACGCGUACAGCCCAUAAAUGAAUCCUUCUGGAUGAAAGAUGCUCUGUUGUAAUAUGGCAGUGUAAAAGCCUGAACCCGUUUCCAAGCUGAUGGGAAAAGGAAUGUACUGACAAGACAGGAGCUCUGUGCUGGGCCAGAGAGAGAAGGAGAAGGAAGGAGGACUAGCCUGACAAUGCCACUAAGAAUCAGAGAAGAAAUCAAAGACUUUGGAAGGUUGAGUGUCUUGAACAGACUGAACCCGUUUGGCCACACCACCGUCACGCGCUGCCCAUCUACGUGUAAGGUUUCAGCCGAAGGGGCAGCCUGAGAAACUGUCCUCUUGGGAAAGCUUAUGUUAUGCUGAAGCCUCGUGUGUAGCACUGCAGCAGUUCAAGUGGACGCAGCUUAGUGCUGAACUGACACACCACAAAUCCAUCUGACACGUUUCUAUUCAGGCUGACGUGAUUCAAAGGCAUUUCAUUUCUGUGUUCUAAUGAAAAAGUGAAAAAUUACUUUUACCCACAGAAAUUUUGACUUCACGAAGAGCUGCAUUUCCAGUUAUAGAGACAAAGACAUUUUUCCUGAACAGCAUAAAUCAAAGUUGUUUUCCUGUUUACAAACAUCCCAGCCUUGCCUACUGGAUAGAAAAAGCAGAGGGUGUCCUCCUGUGUUUCAGUGUAACUGCUCGCCCUCAGCUGUCCUUCUUAGCCUGGUUGAGGGUUAUGGCAAAGGACCCACCUUAAAAAAUAAUAAUACUCACUUUUUGCUUUUUGAAAAGAAGAAAACGUAUGUGAAGAGUGGUAUGUGAUUCUUUAACAUCUCAGAUAAUCUAGGCCAAGCCCUUGGCCUUCUGCUUGCGUAUCUUCCCCUUCAAUCUGUCGUAGUGCCUGGGGCCAUUACCAAAAUGAAGACGACAGGCACUUCCCGUGGGACCCUUCUUGCUGAACAUGAAACUCUCCAGUCUCUGUGAGCUGAGCUGAUCACCCUGCACGCCUGUUAUCGUUAUGGGAAGAAAUAAGCCCUUUUAUGGCUCAGUUCAUUUGCCCUUUCCAGGCACCCAUACUGAGACACGAGCAUCGUG